UCGAGGGGCCUACUAGUGGCAAACGGGUGAGUAACACAUUGGUAACCUGCCCCAAAGAGUGGAAUAACUCCGCGAAAGCGGAACUAAUACCACGUGUGGUCUUCCGACAUAUGUCGGAAAAAGAAAGGCCCGCAAGGGCCGCUUUGGGAGGGGCCUAUGGCUUAUCAGCUAGUUGGUGAGGUAAUGGCUCACCAAGGCUAUGACGAGUAGCGGGCGUGAGAGCGCGACCCGCCUCAGUGGGACUGAGACACUGCCCACACUCCUACGGGAGGCUGCAGUCGAGAAUAUUCCCCAAUGGGCGAAAGCCUGAGGGAGCGGCGCCGCGUGCAGGAUGAAGGUCUUCGGAUUGUAAACUGCUUUUCUCUGGGAUGAACUUUGACCGUACCAGAGGAAUAAGAGGUUGCUAACUCUGUGCCAGCAGCAGCGGUAAUACAGAGACCUCGAGCGUUAUCCGGAUUUACUGGGCGUAAAGGGUCCGCAGGUGGUUUUGUAAGUCUUCGGUUAAAUCCUUGAGCUCAACUCGAGAACCGCCGAGGAAACUACAAGGCUUGAGACCGGGAGAGGCGAGCGGAAUUGCUGGUGUAGUAGUAAAAUGCGUUAAUAUCGGCAAGAACACCAAAUGCGAGGGCAGCUCGCUAGACGGUUCUGACACUCAGGGACGAAAGCGUGGGUAGCGAUACGGAUUAGAUACCCGUGUAGUCCACGCCCUAAACGAUGGGUACUGGGCAUUGGGAGUAUCGACCUCUCGGUGCCGCAGCUAACGCAAUAGUAUUCCACCUGGGGAGUACGGCCGCAGGU
rnacentral:rRNA from 1 species